CGUUGCCUGGCGACCGGCGCGGCCCGGCGCGGCGCUGAGGUCAUAAAUCAAAGCAGUGCUUUAUGAACUUGAAGCACCUCUCAACUUCUGAAGGAUCUAAAACAGGCUAGAAAACCAGACGAAUACCGGAGAUGAGACCAUAAAAUGUAACAGGGGAGGUGGACCUCUUCAGUCCUCAGAAGUCUUGAUCCAGGUGCUGAGGAAACUGACUCCAUUUCUGCUCAACAUGGAUGUAGUUAAACCGACCUCGACAGAAAUCAUGAUUGCUGAGAAAUCCUUCAAGAAAAUACCCAGUGUCCUUCUGGACAGCCUAGUGGAGGAACCUAAAAAAAGACGUGCUGUUCCCAAUCACCUGCUGGAAACAAAGAUUUAUUCAGAACGUCACAGGAGCAAAGUUGUACAGGCUGAGCCUGCUGUGUUACACUAUGGAGGGUAUGAAGUUGGAAAACACCACCAACAGACACUGAAGCUAAUAAAUACUUCUGUUGAUGUAAUAAACCUUCACAUAAUACCGCCUCAGACAAAGUAUUUUCAGAUCAAAUACAACAAAACAUACCGGCUUGUCCCUGGCUUGUCAUAUGUGGUUACUGUUGAUUUUUGUCCUGAUGAGUGGCGGUACUACUAUGACUGCAUCCGAAUUCACUGUCUGGGAGAUGAUACAUUAAUUGUUCCUGUGCAUGCUUACCCUGUAAUGAAUGUUGUAGAAUUUCCAUCAUUUAUAAAUCUGUCCGAUGUACCAGUUGGUCAGAGUAAGGAGUAUGUUAUCUCAUUGCAGUGCAGCUGUCCAAUAGAUUUUGAAUUCCACAUUGAUUUAAUUCAGCCUCACAGAGCCUUCACUGUCCAGCCAACAUAUGGAAUCAUUCCAGGCAAUGGGAAAGUGGAAUUAACUGUGAAAUAUUCCCCACUUGCCUAUGGAACAGCACAAAUGACAAUGCAGUUACGGAUUUCACAGUUUAAGUCAAAACCCUAUGUAUGUGUAUUCACAGGAACAUCAACACCACAUCUGGGUCUAAGGAAAGAACAUCUUGACAAACUACGAAGUCAUCCAGAGAAAAAAGCUGCGUCUGCAGGAAAAUUUGUGGCGUGGAGAAGAGACCAAUUCAGUCGACCACGAUCAAGGCCUAUUCAAAAAGUAAAGGAAAUUGAAUACCAGAACCUCAGAUUCCCCACAGACUUGUCAAAUCCAUAUGCUGUAGCUACUGUUUUGAAUCAGGAACCAGGCAAAUUGAGGAUUAAGGACUUGAAAGAAGUCCUUUCCCAAGGCUGUGAAGGGAUGAAAACAAGACAGAUGAAGGAAACUCUAUUUCAAUUAAAAGUUAAACAAAAUAUUCAGGAAGAGGAAGCAAAUCGUCUGAAGUGGCAAGUUCAUAAAGGCCAAGAACCAAUCUCUGUGGAAUUUAAAAAAGAGAUUAUUGAAAACCGACAGAGGGAAGAAGAACAAUACAAGAUCCAGAGAGGAGAUCCUAUCGUAGAACAGGAAUUUCAAAGGAACGAAGCAGAAGUAUCUUUCAGACGUGUUAUCCGGGCUGUUGGCCAGUAUCCAAGUGUCCAUCCCACAUUUGACCUGCUCCGUAAUGACCCUUGGGACAACAGAAACAGGAUGUUCAGGAAAUUCCAACAAGCAGCAUACAGGAUUAUCAUGCAGAAUCGCCUAAAUCGUUUGCUGCUUCUGUUCCGUGGGCUAAGCAGAGAAGCCAGAGGCUUGAAGGAAGGCUCUGUGUAUGAAAGCAAGAGUUUCAGCAAACCAGAGAAGAGUGAAGAAUGUAAGGGCUUUUCUUCCAGCAUAACUGAAGAUUGUAUAUUGCCUUUUGAAUUUCCCUUUUACAGUUCCCAUGAAUUGCAGCAAGAUUUGGCACCUGAUGCUCUUGGCCUAGUUCCUAUUGAAUCUGUAGAUGUGAAAGUGAGACACGUUCUUCCUUUUUACGACUUGAAGGUUCCUCAGCAUUUCAACAUUAUGAAGUACCAGCCAUUUUGUACACACUAUGCAGCCACAAGCUACAAACCUCGAAAACUUUCCCGACCACUGAGGCAGGGAGCCCAGGACGAGUUGAUUCAAGUAAUUGCUUCUCCUGAGGGGCAGCUUGACCUGGUCUCCCAGAGGGCAGAUUUUCACAAACCAUCCCCAGAAGCAGCAGAAAGGGAUAUCAGCCUCUUAAAACUGGUUCCUCCCCAAGCUUUAGUCUACCCUACAGAGAGCAUCUCACUUCGCAUUUUUAACCCUACUCCAGGGUUAGUUCCAGUUUUACCUCCUUUGGCUUAUUCUGAAACAAAUAUUGAAUAUCAUCUUUGUCCUCAUCCGAAAUACACCUUUACCAAGGAAUGCCCCAAAGGAUCCAGUAUUCCCGUCACACAAAAGAAAUUUCUACAUCACAAGUGGAGGAAGCAUCUUUUAAAUGUAGAGAACUUCAGCUUAUCGGAUUCAAUUCUCAGCCAAGAAGUCAGACAGUCUGUCCAUCAAGCCUCUCUCCCCACUGCAUACACUGCAUUAUGGAUUAGAGGUCUGAUCGCUGUAGCACUUGUCAUUUCAGGAUGUGAUUUCUGGAGUAAUGGAAUGGAAAAGAUUCUUACCAGUGGUAUAUUCUGCUUUUUCUAACACUCCUACAUGGACCAGUACAACACCUAGGGAUCCUUACAGUUCAGAUAUGCUUCCAAGAGAUGUACCUCCAAUGCUGUGUGAGUUACCUGAGAGAGACAAGGAGAACAUAAUCGACCAAGAGACAGAUGAAACUGAGUUCAAAAUGAUUCUUACUCCAGAGAUGGUGAGAGCUGAAUUUCCACAAAUUGGGCAGACACUUGCAGAAGAACGCAAAGAGAAAUCAGCAAAAGAGGAAAGAGACCUGCACAAGCAUCCAGAUGGACAUUUUCAGCUCGAAAACAAUGAGCUCAAAGAGAAGGUUCAAAAACAUGUGGAGGAAAUGAAGCUGAAAGCACUUAAUAAAACCCUUAUUCUGGGAUAAGAAUAAUUUUACAAAGUCCAUGGCUUGGCACUGCUUAUCCUAUUAAUGUGUAAGGCUGCCUAUAUCCUCACUACAUGUACUUACGUUCAGCAAAGUCAGCAACUUUCCAUGCAGAGAGAAGAGAACCACCAGUAAUGCCACCGCUAUCAAGGACUUUCACUGUGACCAUUACCCCACUCUGUAUUUCUUCAGUGAGAAUCCUCAGCCAUGUACCUGCUCAUUUUGUCCUGGUGCAAAGGACCAGAGAUGUAUUACUGGCAUAUAAAUAGUUUGGUAAUUAAUGUACAGCCCAAUAUUUACAAAUAAAAUGUGAAGAGUCUUCAUGACCAAA